UACAGAGGGGGCAAGCGUUGUUCGGAAUUACUGGGCGUAAAGGGCGCGUAGGCGGCCUUCUAAGUCGAACGUGAAAUCCCCGGGCUCAACCCGGGAACUGCGUCCGAUACUGGAAGGCUUGAAUCCGGGAGAGGGAUGCGGAAUUCCAGGUGUAGCGGUGAAAUGCGUAGAUAUCUGGAGGAACACCGGUGGCGAAGGCGGCUACCUGGACCGGUUCUGACACUGAUGCGCGAAAGCGUGGGUAGCAAACAGG
rnacentral:rRNA from 1 species